GAAAAACUUUUCAUUUUUCUCUUUCCUCUCUCUUCCCUCUUGACACCAUGAUUUCAUCUUCUCUUUUUUUUGGGGGGAGAUUGUUAUUGUAAUUUACACUUUUGGUCGUGGAUUUUCAAACAAUCAUCUUGUUGCUAUUAUAAGGUGUGUGUUUUUCCUCAAUUGAAAAAAAUUGAAUUAGAAUUUUUAUCUAUUCUUUAAAUUUGAGUGAAAUUAACUGGUGCUUUAAGUUGUCUAAGUGUUUGAUUAAUAGCGUAUUACGUUCGUAAGUACAUCAAAUUAGGAUUUUUGUUGAUUGUGUAAGUCGGUUUAGGGGAGAAAUUAGAAUUUUUUUUCUCCCAUUUGUUGUUAAUGUGAAAAAUUCCAUGUUUGCAUCUUCGAUUUGUUGUUAAUGAAGUUUGCAAGUUCAACAAAAUUCUAUGUUUGCAUCUCACUAUAGCAUUGAGCAUUGGGUGUGAUUCAUUCAUACAAAGCUUAUUCAAUUCCUCAUUUGCCCUAUUAAGAAUUCCGACAAAAUCAAUCAACAAAUUACGAACCCCAAAUUAAAGUUGGAUAAGAUUAUAAAUCACAACUUCAAGAGUUCAACAAGAAAUCGGUAUUACAAACUAAGCUAAGAAGAUGUUUGACAGAAAUCGAAAAAAAAAUGGAGGAGAAGAAGUCUCAUCGAAGAAGAUGAGUUUGGACCGUUGGAGACACACACUUUAAUAAGAAAUUAGAAAUUCUCAAUUAGAAAGAAAAGAGAGAAUUGAAUAAUAUAUAAUAUAAUAAAAUAUUUAUUAUAUUAUUAAAAAUAAUGACAUGGCAAUUAGAAAAUAAAUAAUUUAAAGUGAAAAUGAGUCAUCCGACAUGUCCAUGGGCGGUGUAGUCACGUCCAUUGACAGGUCAGUAAUUAGGGGUAAUAAAUUCGGAAAAGAAAAGUUUAGGGAUAAUAGGUCUCCUUUAAAGAUUGAGUGUGUAGUUGAAAUUUUGACUAAAGGUUGGGGGAUAAUAAAUCAUUUUCUCUUCUGUAUUUGAUUGAAAGUAUUACUUAGUUCUAAAAUUAUUUAUUUCACCAUUUAUAUCAUAAUGAUAGAAUUAGUUAUCUCUUAUACAUGUGGGAUAACUUAUUGUGGAGUAGUUAUAUCUCGGAAUAACUUGUUCCUAACCAAAUGAUAUUUAAAUUAUUAAUUCAACCCAUAUUUUGAACUUGUUUUCUAGCCUGUUAUAAUUUAAUUUUUUUUUAAAUUUUAUGGUCUUUUAAUGAAAGAUGUUGCCUUUUUAAACAUAAGUGAUAUUUAAUUUUACGCAUAAAACAUCUGUAUUUAUUUUUUUAAUAAGUCUAAAAAUCUCAUUUCCUCGUCAGACUGGGCCUGUCCUUCUCUAGCUUAUCUGAAUAAAUUAUUUGUCCCAUACACAACGAGUAUGGAAAAUGAUAUUCCCUUCAUUUCAUACUAAAUGAAUUGUUAGAUUUUGACAUACAUAUUAAGAAAAAAAUAUUAAAGACAUAAAUUUAACACAACUUUUCAUUUUAUUCCCCCCCAAAAAAUUAACCUUGUAAUACCUUUUCAAAAGUUAAUUGAUUGUCAAAUCAUAAGGGUAGAUUUGAAAAGAAUUUCAAUGAUUCACUUAUUUUGAAACACCAAUAAAUCUCCAAACAAUUCACUUAUUUCGAAAUAGAGUGAAUAUCUACUUUCAACCAACAUCUAAAAUUGGAUUUGUUUACAUCAUAUCGAUGGUGUAGUUUUGUGCUUGAUAAAUUAAAGGUGCAAUUAACUUACACAUGCAUAUUAUGGCAAAUUAAAUGGACCCAAAGAAAUAUGAUAGAUGAGAUAUGUAGCAAUUGGAUUCAAAUAAGUUUAGAAAAGUAACUUAUUUAAAUAAUCCAAAAAGACAUUUUAUUAUUUCAAGACCCCUCUUCCUCUUCUUUUUUCUUGUUAAUUAUAAUUUUUUUCUUUUAAAAAAAUUAAUUUAGGCGUGUAAGCUGAAGAAGAAAAAGAAAAGAAAUAUUAUAUUUGAAUUUGUUUUAUGCACUUAAAAGAGGAAAGAGAAUGAAAUACACUCUUUUUGCCAUUUCAACUUUGUAUAGUGUUUGAUCUUGUAUUAUCUGAACUAUUUAUUUUAUUUCUUAAGCAAAACCAAAAUAAUUAUGCUUAGUCUAAAUGCAAUUUUACAUACUUUGUGCACCGAAUGACAAUUAACUCCUAAAAAAAACUACAUUUUUAUAUGAACUUUCAAGGUGAAAGAUUACGUCAUGAGAAAAAUUUACUUUUUUGAGAUUUUUUUCCUCUUUAUAAAAAUAUUGUUUAGUCAUAAAAACUCCAAAUACAACUUGUGAAAAUAUAUCUCAACCUGUUUGCAUUUUUUUCAAUCAACUCCAACUUCUCUCUUAUAUUUAAAAAAGUGGCUUCAAAAGUCUAAAAAAUCAAAACACAACUUCAAUUCUAAAAUAUUUUGAUUUUCAUAGCCGAACGCCUACUAAAUAUAGUGUUUGGGCUAAAUCUUGGCCCAUCCAUUCCCCCAUUUGGGCUUGGGCAGGAAAACUUAUCUAUGGGCUUGGGCUGGGUGGCUCUCAACUUCUAAUCUAUCCCAACCCCAUUCAUCCAUUUUGCCUCUUUUUCCAAUGAUAUUUUGCUAUCUCAUACAUAAACUUGAGUCGAGUCGAGUCGAGUUAAGUUGAGUUGAACUGAGUCGAAUGUAGUUCGACUUCGUCUAUUCUUUCAUUGAGUAAAGUUUGAGUAGGCCUGAUCGAACUUUUGCACAAGACUGAGUCGAACUGAAUUUAAUCGAAAUUUACUAUAAUUUAAUUGAGUCUGAAUCACGCGUCUUACUUAUCCUACGUGCCUCACUAAGUAUAAAAAUAAAACAUAAGAAGUAAUUGAUCACUAUUAACAAAAAGGAAUUAGCAAUGAACAAAUUUUUAUCCAAACAACAAAAUCUGUUGCUAAUCUUAUUUAGUAACAAAUGAGUGAUUUAGCCCAUGGUUUUGGGGUGGGCCCAGGGCCGGCAUCGUUUUGGGCCAAAACACGACUGGUGUCCCCCGACUUGGGAAGCGUGUGAGUAAUUAAUUUUAGAAUGAGUUUAUAUCAUGUUUGAUUGGAAUAAAAUCGUGAGAUAACUUAUUCCAAUAUUUAAGUAUCUCGAUGUUGUAGUAUUAUUUUUAUCCCUUAUGAAUGAUAGAAUAACAAUCUCGAAAUUAAUUCCUCUUAUUUUUUUAGUUAAUUGAUUUUUUUCUUCAUUUUAUUAGUUUAAUGAAGGACAAAAUGUUUGAAUCAUUUCUUUAAAAAAUUUCGCACUUUUACAAUAUUAUAAAUAUAAUAUUAAUUUUUUUUGGUCAAGAUGUAAAUAUUAAUUGAUGUAGAUGUAUAUAUACAAAUAAACAAAAAUUCACCUUGUGAUUAAUUUUACACGAUCAUAUUUAGCUAGCACAAAAUUUAAUCAAAACUGACAACACUCAUCAAAAUGUAUAUAUGACAUGUACUCUUUGAACAGUUUAAAGGAGUAAUAAGGAAAUUAAAACACAACAACAUACACAUAUAUUAUAAAACAUAAUAUAAGUACACAGUACACAUGUGAUGAUGUGAUAUAUAUGGAUCAUGAAGAUCACAAUAUACACCAAUCUGCCUUAUUUGGGAUAUCUACUAUUGAUAUUCAUUACAUUUAUCUAUUCGACACGAUAAAUCAAUAUAUAUAUAUAUAUAUAUAUAAAGGAAAAACAAGACAGACAAGGAUGAUGUGACAUCUUUUUAUGGUCACCAUUUCUAUUUAUUUUUUUUCUCUUUUUUUUUUUUAAUUUUUUUGCGAUUUCUUGCAUUGAUCAAUUUGUUUAAUAAAUAAAAAAAUUAUUAUAUUCAAUUAUAUCUCAUGAAUUAUAAAAAACCUCUAUCCAUUCACAUUCUCUAUUUAAGUAACAUGUCCCUUCAACUUUCUUCUAUCAAAUUCUUAUGACUUGAACAAUCUAUAUAUAGGCAAUGGUUUAUUCCGAAAAUAGCAUUGAACUUUGUAGCCAUGGUUGAACGCAAAAGAAGAAAAUUAAAGUUAGUAAGUUUUCAAUAUAUGUGACUUUGAGCAUUGGACACUUUAUUUUGUAUGAUUUAGAAUUGAUUAAAUUUUACAGAAUAUUUCACAUUAAAGUUAGUAAGUUUUCAAUAUAUGUGGUUUUGAACACUGGACAUUUUACUUUGUAUGAUUUAGAAUUGAUUGAAUUUUACUGAAUAUUUCACAUUUAUAAUCAUUUGCUAAUCAUGCACUCAAGUUCAAUGAGGUUCAUAUUUUCAUUUUCUUAUUUUGUAUCUAUAGUUAAAUUUAUUUUGUGAUAUUUAUUCAUGUGUUCAUGGAUACUCUUUGAUAGUAAAAUUUAUAUUUAUGCCAUCUUCAAUGUGUUCAAUGGAUCUGUUUCAACUGCAAAUGAUAUGACAAUAUUGGGAUUAAAGAGUUUUGGAAAAAGAAGAUUGAAGGAUGAUACACAGAAAAUGGAGUUUGUUAACUAGCCUCGCUGCUAUUCUUGACGAAAUCAUCGGUACUAUUGUCAUUGCCAUUUCAUAUUCGUCCAAAAUGAUCCAUCCAAGUAAAAAUACUAGAUGUGUGAUUCUCUGGUUUAAGGUUGUGAUGUUUGCUCCACCUUUUUCGCAAGAUUGUAUGCAAAUAAUUUUAGUGAAUAUGACAAGCCUUCUGAAUCUAAAUAAAUAGUGGAAUAUUGUUCAGAAAAGAAAGAAGUAUUCAUUGGGCAGAAGAGCAGACAAAAAAGUUAUUGUUCUUUGGAAAGAAAAAUCAAUUUAACAAGCUGAACAAUUUUUAUGUUUAUAGUGUAACCUUUUUUUUCUCUCUCUUUACAUCUCAAAAUUUUAUUGCACUUUGUUCUACGAGAGUGGAUUCGACCAAAUCUGAAAUACAUUAGAUGUAUAUAGAUUUUUUAUUUUCAAAGAUAAUGUUUAGAGAUUUGAAAACUAACUACACAAUCUGUGAGAUGAAAUUUUUUUCCUUUAACAAAAUAGUGGUGAAAUAUAGCACAAUUCACAUAUGAAAACAAUAAGAUGACAAAAGAAUUUUCACAGAAAAGUGUGUAAAUAAUUGCACUAUGAUUUACUUUUUAACCAAAUUCACUGAAAGGAGAUACUUACAAUUUGAAUCAAAAACAAAUGUAGCUAGCAGGUGUAAAGUUUUGUUGUUUAGAAGUUAAGGGAGGUGAUAUACCUGUUCUUAAUUACUUGCAUAGUCUAAGACCUCAAGAACAUGGUGUGUUACCACGAAGAGGUGGGUUCAAAAUAUAUUUGAUGGAUUUAGUUUUUAGUUUUUUUUAACAUGGCUACAAAGUUCAAUAUUGUCUUCUGAGUAAACCAUUGUCUAUAUACAGAUUGUUCAAGUCAUAAGAAUUUGAUAGAAGAAAGUUGAAGGGACAAUUUAAAUAGAGAAUAUAAAUGGAUGGAGAUUUUUUUUGUAACUCAUGAGAUAUAAUUGAAUAUAAUAAAUAUAAUAAUCUAUUUAUUUGUUAAAUAAAUUGAUCAAUGCAAAAAUGAUGGGGAAAAUUCAAAUAAAAAGAGAAAAAAAUAAAUAGGAAUGAUGGCCAUAGAGAUGUCACAUCAUCCUUGUGUUGUUUAUCCUUUAUAGAUAUAUAUUAAUAUAUUGAUUAUGGAGGAAAUUAAGAGGUUUUUAGAUUUUUAAUAUUUAAUUUAAUAUAAGAUAAAUUAAUAGGAUGAAGUAGGAAAAAAUGCAAAAAAGGAGAAAAAUGUAAAAUAAAAAUGGAUGAAAAAUAAUUAAAUAAAAACGGAUAAGAUGAAAGGACUUAUGUAAAUUUUCUAAUUAAUAGCAGAUGAGAGGACUUAUCUAACACAAAAAAUCUUUGAUUAUGUAUAAUGUUUACCUAUCACUACAAUAACUAUAAAUAUUUUUAUUUACAUAAUUAAUGCAUUAUGUAUGAAACAACAAAUAAAUAAGAAUAGAUAGCUCAUCAAAAUUUUAUUAUUAUAAAAAAAAUUAUAUAAAUUCAACAAGUUCUUACACAUCGCGCAAAGCGCGAACUUAUUCACUAGUUAAAAUAUAUAGUACAGGCGAGUAGUCACUUAUUUUAGUUUAUAAUAAAAGUGAAACAAAUAUUAUAAAUAUUUAAUGUGAUCUUUUCCGUUCAUAUAUAACAAUGAAUUCAUUUCUCUGUAAUUAAUUGUGGAGAUUAAAAUGCAAAGUAAAAAUUUC
rnacentral:lncRNA from 1 species